ACUGUAGGCUGAUGCAGGAGGGAUCAUUA
rnacentral:rRNA from 1 species